GCGGGUGUGGUGAAUGGUUCACCGUUGCGUUCACUGCAAGAGUCGCAGUUGAAAGUUUCAGCAGCUGUCCCGGGUUCGAUUCCUGGCACCCGCA